rnacentral:rRNA from 1 species
UACGUAGGGUGCGAGCGUUGUCCGGAAUUAUUGGGCGUAAAGCGCCUGUAGGCGGCUUGUCAAGUCCGGCCUGAAAGCCCCCGGCUCAACCGGGGAGAGUGGCUGGAAACUGCGUUUCUUGAGGGCGAGAGAGGAGGGUGGAAUUCCUGGUGUAGCGGUGAAAUGCGUAGAGAUCAGGAGGAACACCCGUGGCGAAGGCGGCCCUCUGGCUCGACCCUGACGCUGAGGCGCGAAAGCGUGGGGAGCGAACGGG